rnacentral:rRNA from 1 species
UACGUAGGGUGCAAGCGUUAAUCGGAAUUACUGGGCGUAAAGCGUGCGCAGGCGGUUUUGUAAGUCUGUCGUGAAAUCCCCGGGCUCAACCUGGGAAUUGCGAUGGAGACUGCAAGGCUAGAAUCUGGCAGAGGGGGGUAGAAUUCCACGUGUAGCAGUGAAAUGCGUAGAGAUGUGGAGGAACACCGAUGGCGAAGGCAGCCCCCUGGGUCAAGAUUGACGCUCAUGCACGAAAGCGUGGGGAGCGAACGGG